rnacentral:rRNA from 1 species
AUUAGAGUUUGAUCCUGGCUCAGAUUGAACGCUGGCGGAAUGCUUUACACAUGCAAGUCGAACGGUAGAGGGGGCAACCCCUCGAGAGUGGCGAACGGGUGAGUAAUAUAUCGGAACGUGCCCAGUCGUGGGGGAUAACGUAGCGAAAGUUACGCUAAUACCGCAUACGAUCUACGGAUGAAAGCGGGGGAUCGCAAGACCUCGCGCGAUUGGAGCGGCCGAUAUCAGAUUAGGUAGUUGGUGGGGUAAAGGCUCACCAAGCCGACGAUCUGUAGCUGGUCUGAGAGGACGACCAGCCACACUGGAACUGAGACACGGUCCAGACUCCUACGGGAGGCAGCAGUGGGGAAUUUUGGACAAUGGACGCAAGUCUGAUCCAGCCAUUCCGCGUGCAGGAUGAAGGCCCUCGGGUUGUAAACUGCUUUUGUACGGAACGAAAAGGUUUCCAUUAAUACUGGGAGCUCAUGACGGUACCGUAAGAAUAAGCACCGGCUAACUACGUGCCAGCAGCCGCGGUAAUACGUAGGGUGCAAGCGUUAAUCGGAAUUACUGGGCGUAAAGCGUGCGCAGGCGGUUAUGUAAGACAGAGGUGAAAUCCCCGGGCUCAACCUGGGAACGGCCUUUGUGACUGCAUAGCUAGAGUACGGUA